GCCUGGGUGGCUCAGUUGGUUGAGCGUCUGACUUCGGCUCAGGACAUGAUCUCACAGUCUGUGAGUUCGAGCCCCACAUCAGGUU
rnacentral:tRNA from 1 species